AUUGAACGCUGGCGGCAUGCCUUACACAUGCAAGUCGAACGGUAACAGGUCUUCGGAUGCUGACGAGUGGCGAACGGGUGAGUAAUACAUCGGAACGUGCCCGAUCGUGGGGGAUAACGAGGCGAAAGCUUUGCUAAUACCGCAUACGAUCUACGGAUGAAAGCGUGGCAUCUUCCGACCUCGCGCGGACGGAGCGGCCGAUGGCAGAUUAGGUAGUUGGUGGGAUAAAAGCUUACCAAGCCGACGAUCUGUAGCUGGUCUGAGAGGAUGAUCAGCCACACUGGGACUGAGACACGGCCCAGACUCCUACGGGAGGCAGCAGUGGGGAAUUUUGGACAAAGGGCGAAAGCCUGAUCCAGCCAUGCCGCGUGCAGGAUGAAGGCCUUUGGGUUGUAAACUGCUUUUGUACGGAACGAAAAGCCUCUUUCUAAUAAAGAGGGGUCAUGACGGUACCGUAAGAAUAAGCACCGGCUAACUACGUG
rnacentral:rRNA from 1 species